GGGGGUGUGGCGGAACGCAAACGCACUGGACUCCUAAUCCAGCGGCCUUGACCUAGGUUUUGUGGGUGCAAAUCCCACCUCCCCCA
rnacentral:tRNA from 1 species